GACGAACGCUGGCGGCGUGCCUAAUACAUGCAAGUAGAACGCUGAAGGAGGAGCUUGCUUCUCCGGAUGAGUUGCGAACGGGUGAGUAACGCGUAGGUAACCUGCCUGGUAGCGGGGGAUAACUAUUGGAAACGAUAGCUAAUACCGCAUAAGAGUAGAUGUUGCAUGACAUUUGCUUAAAAGGUGCAAUUGCAUCACUACCAGAUGGACCUGCGUUGUAUUAGCUAGUUGGUGGGGUAACGGCUCACCAAGGCGACGAUACAUAGCCGACCUGAGAGGGUGAUCGGCCACACUGGGACUGAGACACGGCCCAGACUCCUACGGGAGGCAGCAGUAGGGAAUCUUCGGCAAUGGACGGAAGUCUGACCGAGCAACGCCGCGUGAGUGAAGAAGGUUUUCGGAUCGUAAAGCUCUGUUGUAAGAGAAGAACGAGUGUGAGAGUGGAAAGUUCACACUGUGACGGUAUCUUACCAGAAAGGGACGGCUAACUACGUGCCAGCAGCCGCGGUAAUACGUAGGUCCCGAGCGUUGUCCGGAUUUAUUGGGCGUAAAGCGAGCGCAGGCGGUUAGAUAAGUCUGAAGUUAAAGGCUGUGGCUUAACCAUAGUACGCUUUGGAAACUGUUUAACUUGAGUGCAAGAGGGGAGAGUGGAAUUCCAUGUGUAGCGGUGAAAUGCGUAGAUAUAUGGAGGAACACCGGUGGCGAAAGCGGCUCUCUGGCUUGUAACUGACGCUGAGGCUCGAAAGCGUGGGGAGCAAACAGG
rnacentral:rRNA from 2 species